UAUUAUAUCAGGCAUUAUAAAUAAUUUCUAGGCAAUAUUUAAAAUGACUACAAGACAUUUUUAGGACUGGCUAAGUGUUCUUUUACAAUAUUCUGCUCAU
rnacentral:pre_miRNA from 1 species